CCUACGGGUGGCAGCAGUGGGGAAUAUUGCACAAUGGGCGCAAGCCUGAUGCAGCCAUGCCGCGUGUGUGAAGAAGGCCUUAGGGUUGUAAAGCACUUUCAGCGAGGAGGAAGGCAUCACACUUAAUACGUGUGGUGAUUGACGUUACUCGCAGAAGAAGCACCGGCUAACUCCGUGCCAGCAGCCGCGGUAAUACGGAGGGUGCAAGCGUUAAUCGGAAUUACUGGGCGUAAAGCGCACGCAGGCGGGUUGUUAAGUCAGAGGUGGAAUCCUGACGCUUAACGUGAGAACUGCAUUUGAAACUGGGAAGCUUGAGUGCUGGAGAGGGGGGUAGAAUUCCGGGUGUAGAGGUGAAAUGCGUAGAGAUUCGGAAGAACACCGGUGGCGAAGGCGGCCCCCUGGCCCAAUACUGACGCUCAGGCGCGAAAGCGUGGGGAGCAAACAGGAUUAGAUACCCUUGUAGUC
rnacentral:rRNA from 1 species